GACGAACGCUGGCGGCGUGCCUAACACAUGCAAGUCGAGCGGGGUUACGGAGUAGCUUGCUACGAAGUAACCUAGCGGCGGACGGGUGAGUAACGCGUGAGCAAUCUGCCUCGUACAGGGGGAUAACAGGUGGAAACAUCUGCUAAUACCGCAUAAGACCACAGGGUCGCAUGAUCCAGGGGUCAAAGGAGGAAUCCGGUACGAGAUGAGCUCGCGUCCCAUUAGCUAGUUGGUGAGGUAAAGGCUCACCAAGGCGACGAUGGGUAGCCGACCUGAGAGGGUGAUCGGCCACACUGGGACUGAGACACGGCCCAGACUCCUACGGGAGGCAGCAGUUGGGAAUCUUAGGCAAUGGACGAAAGUCUGACCUAGCGACGCCGCGUGAGGGAAGAAGGCCUUGGUUGUAAACUCUGUCAUGGGGAAGAAGGAAGUGACGGUACCCCAAGAGGAAGCCCCUGCUAACUACGUGCCAGCAGCCGCGGUAAGAUAGCGUACU
rnacentral:rRNA from 1 species